UCUGGUUUAACAUAUAAUUAAUGUGAUAGAUUGUAAAUCUUUUAAAAGCUCGAAAGCUA
rnacentral:tRNA from 1 species